GACUGGGGGCGCGGCGGGGGCGGCUGAGAAUUGGGGUGGGGGCUGUAGGGGCUCUGGGAGGUCCACCCAGCGCACCUGCUGGGAGAGAGCCCCCGGCAGGGCCGCGGAGACGCAGGCUGAGCAGAGAGGGAGCGGUGACGUCGCUGUCGGGGAGCAGCUGGCCUGGUGGCAGGAGAGGGCAGCUGCCAGGAUUGACGGACAGAACAGAGCCCCGAGGAUGUGGCAGGGUGGCCGGUGGCUUGUGCCCUCCGACUGAGGUUUGUGCAGGGCCCAGGAAAGGUUGGGGCCUGGCCUGGUGCACGGUCAGCUCAGGUCACCCCCCAUUGCUCUGUGGAGUCCCAGGUGCCCUGUAGGGCUCAGGCCUGGCUACAGGGACAGGAGACGGCAAGGCUGGAAAGGCCCCCAGGUCGGUGUCACCCUCUGCCAGGACAGAAGGGGGGCAUCACCCCAGGCUCCUUCUCCCAAGUCUGGGGAGGGAGACUUAUGUUAUAGUUCUUGGCCAAAUUUUUUAAAAGUUUCAGAGGCAACUGGGCAGACCAGAUGUUUCAUCCUACCCUGGGGAGAACCGGCCUUUUCCUCCGAAAGAAAUGAGUUCUGACCCUGCCUAAGGGAGGUGGCUACUGCUCACCUUUCUGCUCCUGUGAGCGUGUGUACACAUACACUCACACCCUCGGCAGCCUGAGGCCUGACUGUACUCCGUCCUGGGAGAUAUGGUCUCAACAGGUGAGAACUCCUCCUAGCACUAGUCAUAUCAACUCAGUUAAGUGACGGCAGCGGCUGCUGUGGCCAGGUCUGGACUGCACACUGAGGACACAGGAGUUAGUCAGACUUUGUGUUUGAGAAGGUCACGCUCGAUGAGAAGAAGAAGACAAGGACACGUUGGUGAUGGCCGUGAGAGACUCAAAGCUGGGGAUGUGCGGAGAAGUCAAGGCCACUUCUCCGGGAGGCUGGUGUGUGGGCAGGAGUGGGGAGGAGUGCAGAUCAGGGAAUGUGGUUUCUAGGAAAAGCGGGUGCCUGACUUGGCCGGAGGGGAGGAAGGGUCAGAUUUUUAGAGGAAGGAGGGUGGGUCUGGGCACCAGUGGAGGAAGAUGGAGAGACUUGUGCUUUGGAAACAAGAGACCUUUGGGAGUAUGGGCCCAGGCCAGACCCUCAGCAGCAGCAAGGCCUUGGUGUUCGCACAGCUGAAGUGGUGAUGGUGGCAGUGGCCUACCCUGGGCAGGGUUUGGUAGGUCACUGCCCAGCCCUGUGUCCCUUUAGGGCUCUCUGCAGACAGUCUCAUACGGCAGGGCUUUGAAUGGUACCCCCACCCCCACCCCAGAGGCUACAGGUGGACCCAGGUAGGGAUGCGUCAGUUCCCAGUAUCACUCCCUAUUGAUCAUCAGGUGCCCUAAUGAUGUCAGUGCUUUCCGAAUCUGCCAUAAGGUGAGUGAGACUGAUUGGAGUCCCGAGAGAUGGAGGUGUUCAAAUCUAACCUCCAGGGAGGCCUCCCUCCAGCUCUUGGUUCCUCCAACCCCCAAACCCUCAGGGUGGAGGUGGGAGCAGAGACCAGAGGAAGUACAAGAGGAGCAGAGACUGCUGAAGGCAGAGACGUGGGGCUCAAAAGCCCCAGGUACCAGGUGUCUGACGUUCCCGUCGGUGGCUCAGAGUUCACCUCUGAGUGCAGUGGCCUGGCGCGGACGGAGACCCCAGGAAGCCCUGCAUCGGCCAGCAGAGCCCCCUCCUGCCUGGGGCUCCCAGGAGCAGCAGCUGUCCCCUCCCGGUCCAGCUCCCCCGCUCUGCGGGGUCAAAGGCAGGAAGGAGUGCCUGCAGGGAGCUGUGUCUCUUCCCCACCUCGGUGGGGUCAGCUGGGCCCUGAGGCCUCUUCUGUGGCUGCUGCCUGCUCUGUGACCUGUCUCGAGGGCCAGACCUGAUUGCAGUAACUUUUACAUUCGAAACUGUUCAACUGCAUCCCAUCCCUAGGACAGAAGCACAAUGGUUCUCAGCCUGCCCUGGGGCUAAGGCCCCCAGCUGUGGCCACCCCACCCUGCCCUGCCCACGGCCCUCUGACGGAGCUCCAGAAACUGGAAGGAGGGCGCAGGGCAGGAGGGAAGUCGGUGUGUCCUUCCCCUCUCCAUCCGUCUGUCCUUCUGCACACAGCGAGGGUCAGAGGCUGCGCACAGGAGCGCUCAAGCUGCCGCCUUACGAAACUCAGAGCUCUUCGGGGGGCCAGUGGGCCGCCUGCUGCGGGGCUGGCGUGUAUUUGGUGGUGUGUGUUCUUACGUGUUUGUUGGUUACACGUGUCUUGAAAUGUAGAAUCAUUUUCACGGAAUCAUUGCUUUAUCAAGAAGAGAAAAUGGGCUAGAAGAAGCCCGCUCUUAGGUUUCUGGCCCUGUUACCAUUUAAAAUUGACAUUUAAUUUUUCAAAUUGCUGUUGGUGCCUAAUCACUUAAGUUAUUAAUUUAUUGUUUUCUUUAAAAAAAAAUUGUAACAUGUAUUUAUCCUGUGAGUAGGUCUGGGGUGGGAUGGGAAUGCGUUCACAGGCGUCCUGUUUUUGCGGUGGGGACACAUGGUACAGGCCUGGAGCUUGCAGGGCCCUUGUUACUGGAGUGGCGGAGCUAGAUGACAAUAAAGUCCGUGAGAAGCAAGCAGAGAGGCUGCGGCAUCUGCCUCGUCCGGGGGGUGGGCAGCGGGCUUCACAGGACACCGGUCCUCGGCCAGACAGUCCGCCCCCAUCCCCGGCCACUCCACCUUCCACUCAACAGGAGACGACUGGGGACCUUUCCUGGCUGUAAGAACAAGUGCGAAUCCUCCUCACCUUGGAAUCUGUAUUCUUGGUGUGUGAAAUGGAAGUAAUAGCAACCUCUGCCCGCUCAUCUUUCUUCAAAGGCGCACUGGACCACAAAGAAAGGGUACAGCAGUGUCAGGGGAUACGCGGGCAGUAUCUGCUCCUCACCAGACCGCCCCCACCAGCCCCGGGGACCGUGACCGAUAGCUGAGGCGCUGAGCCAGCCAGCAUCCCUCAGGACAGACGUCGUGAGACACACACAUACUUGCGCACCUCACUUCUAUUGACUAGACUGAACAGCGGACAGGGGCCUCAGGUGGCACCUGGAGAAGACAGUCCAGAGACUUCAAAGGUCAACUCCUACCCCACCAGGACCUCUCUGCGGGCUUCCUUCCUCUCAAAGCAGGAGGGACAGACUCUGCCGAGGAGAAAGCUCUCCCUCCUGCCGCACUGGGGCCAGCCCUGGAGACCCCUCACCACUGGCCGCAGGCCCAGUGUCCCCCACCCAGCUGCCGCUGGCCAGGGUCCAGGUGUGACCACCCCAGCUGUUCACGGCAGCAUGCCUCACGCUGCUCGGAGCCCUGGCUGUUCCAGUUGCUAAGUACUUUGAUGCCACCCUAGACUCUUAGGAGUGGAGUUGGCACAGUGAGAGGGCAACCCUCCCAAAGGCCUCCCCCACCCGCUUGUAUCCACUACUCACAGAGCCCCUCCA